AUCCUUAUGCUCGGGCAUUACGCAUAUCAGUGAGGAUUCGUCCGAGAUUGUGUAUUUGCUGGUUGAAAACUAUUUUUUGACCGCUCUUACAAGGCUUUAUUGUCAUGUAAGGAAUUUUUGGCUCAUAAUUCGCUUACUGCAUAUUAU
rnacentral:snRNA from 1 species